AAGUCAGAGAGAGAAAUAAAUUCGAUCUCGUCUUAUAUAAAUUAGACACACAACGGAGACAUGUGGGAACGCAUGGUACUAUUUGAUGAACGAUGAUGACAUAUAAUCUCUGAGGCGGUGUGGGAUUUUGCUUUGUUAUUGAGAAGGUCGUACGUAACAAACGAAAAAGUAUCACCACUGUGAAAGGCUUCCAACUUUUCAGUAAGUUGUGUUUUUCAUUCUCUUAGGUUUUGUUCGGAAAUGAAAUAGAAUGAUAGGAGAUUAUUACAAUAAGUACAUUUUCAUCCCAAAAAUCUAUAUUUCAUCACCAAAUUGUAUAAACUAUGAAGACCUGAAUAGAUUUGAGAGGAAAAUGAACUUGAAUUACCUGAAUAAGAGAUAAUGAAUUGCUGCUCAGUCACUUGAAUUUGAGACCAGGGGAGGGGAUAUUUACAUAGCAAAAGGGUAUUUAGUCAAUAAUGCUUUGUUUUUUAUUUUUAAUUGUUGCUUAUUGAAUUGAGUUAGGCUUGAAUUUUCUGAAUUAGUCAAUCAAGAGAAGAGUGGAAGAAAAGAAUGGAAGGGGGUGAAAAUAGUAAAACUGAAAACCCUAAUUGGGAAGAAGCAAUGGUAAAGUAUGAGAAUGUUAUGGCCUCAGGUACCAAAUCUAUGAAAAGAAAAGCUAUGAUUAUGUUGGCACAUUACUCUAAAAGAGUACCUGAACAUGUAUUAGUUACCACCAUACCAAUUCUCACUCAGAUUCUUGGUGAAAACAUUGCAAAUGAUUCUUUUCCUGAUUUACUUCAAGAGACUGCUGCUUAUUGCUUGAAGUGCAUUGCUUGUAGAGGUGAUGGUGCUUUGGUUAAUGAAAUGUGUGGACAUGGUGUUACACAUUCUUUGAUAAGGUUAUUGCCUUGUGCCGAGGGGAAGAUGCAGAAAGUUCUGAUAAAAUUGUUGAUGGUUGUUGUUAAUUUUUGUAGUACAAGUAGGAUAGUUGUUGGAGCUAAUGGUGGGUUAGAAAUUAUUAUCAGUUUGUUGAAUUCUUGCAACAAUGAUGUUAGAUUGUAUUUGUUAGAGAUUUUGAGUGCGUUGGCGCUUCGGAGGGAGAUUAGGAAGGAACUCAUUAGAUUAGGAGCUCUUCAUUUUAUUGUAGAGGCUGUUGGUGUUGGCAACAUGGUUUCUAGGGAGAGAGCUUGUCAAUCAAUUGGAUUGCUUGGGGUUACGAGAGAAGCUAGGCGUACGCUUGUUGAAUUGGGAGUUAUACCGGUGCUUGUUGAGUUGUUUCGCAAUGGAGAUAAUGCCACGAAACUUGUAGCUGGUAAUACUCUUGGUGUGGUAUCUGCUCAUGGUUAUGUUAGACAAGUUGCUGAAGCUAGGGCUAUACCUCUUUAUGCCGAGCUUCUUCAAGGAUCUGAUGCUUCUGGUAAGGAGAUAGCUCAGGAUGUGUUUUGUAUAUUGGCUGUUUCAGAGCCUAAUUCUGUUGAAAUUGUUGGUCACAUGGUGAGAAUUCUUAGAGAAGGUGAUGAUGAAGCUAAAGCAGCGGCUGCUGAUGUGAUUUGGGAUCUGUCGGUAUACAAGCACGCAACUUCUGUGGUUUGGGCUUCAGGUAUGAUACCUAUCCUUGUUGAGCUUUUGGGGCAUGGGAGUGAAGAAGUAAAGAAGAGUGUUUCUGGGGCAUUUUCUCAGCUAAGCUAUGUUGGAGCCGGUAGAAUGGCCCUUGCUGAGGCUGGGGCUAUUCCGAUUCUCAAUGACAUGCUACAUGACGACACUGAGGAACUAAAAUAUAAUGCUGUUGAGGCUCUUUCCAAUUUUCAUGAAGAUCCAUUAUACCAUGAUACAGUAUCUGAUGUAGUUGAUGUUCCUUCAUUCCGAAAUAUGCAGAAUAGACUAGUUCAGAUUCGUAACGAGCAUAUGACGGGAUCUUUACGUAGAAUGAGUGUUCAGCAGCUCAUUUCAAUCGCGAGUCAUGUUUAAUCGUCUUACAGAUAAGAACAACACAAUUACCUCAAGUACGGAAUGCUCUUUCUGAUCCUGGUGGUCAGUGUCGUUGCAACAUUAUCUUCAUUUUCCCUUUCAAGGACCACUUCAAUGCGCUCACCUAUCUUAGGGAGGUAACCAACAUUUUUGCAUACAAAGCCUGAUACUGUCUCGUAUUGGUGGUCCUGCAAUAAUAGAAGGAAAGUGAUUAUAGGACUGCAAUUCAGCAACAGCUUAACCAUUUGUAGUAGUAUGCAACACAUAGGUGGCGGCCAUGAAAUUGUAAGGUUCACAACUUAAAAAGUGGACACCACAAUGGCUCAAUUGGUACUUAAAAAAUGGACACCACAAUGACUCAUGGGACUGUGUGGAGGCGGUACUUAUCUCUGCCGGUAAUGGUAAUGGCCAAGAUGUUACAAAAUAAGGUCCAAAUAUCUCACUGUCUUGUUUUGCAAACAUUCUCUGCAUUCCCUAAGCCUUGUAUAUUAUUGUAUAUUAAGUACAUUGUUGAAUUAAAAUUGCUCCAUAAUGAACAUAUAAAAAACCAUGAUGACACGAGGUUCAUAGUUCAUCUACAGUUAAUCCCUUA